CACGUCAUUAAAAUAUCACAAGAUUAUUAAAAUAACACAAGAUUUUAACGAAACUGUCAAUUCUGGUGCGUUUUGAGCGAAAUGGUUUCAUUUCGGGUUUAUGAACACACUAGCAUGAACAGUAUAGAGCUAGUAAUAUUCCACAUUUAUAAUAUUACAAAUAGUUUCAGGGGAGCGUAGACGUAUGUUUACUUUCGUAUAAACUUUAUGUCAAAUAAUAUAUUAUAAGCUAUCGGAUUUCCCUGUCAAACACACGAGUGUUUAUCGGAACAUAACCACUUAAAGCAGAGGUCAUUAAAACAUAGAUACCGUUUCCGCUUUGUAAAUUUCACGUCUCCUUUACAAUAGAAGAUUUUGUACGCGGGCAAGCUAUUUUAAUAGAGUAGUCAUUUCAGAGUAGUCAUUUCAGAGUAGUCAUUUCAGAGAUGUCAUUAUAAAUUAACUCAACAGGAAGUUAUUGCGAACUCUGUGGGACACGCCCUAAAUUAAAUUGUUAUUGACCUUGGAUUAUCAGAACAUUAAUAGGAAAAAUAUUGUCGUGUAUAGUAUAACGUUAAAAUGAGUUCUCUUGCAAAUAAUGUACUUCGUUGAAAAGCUACGGACAUUGUUUAGUAGGAAACGUCCGACAUAGAUGGAAGGGCCGGGUGUCUUCUCCUCCUCCGGAUAUCGUAAAAACAUGCUAUACCGAAUGUUAUUAGCUACCAACUGGUAGCAGGAUUGAGAGUAUUAGUAAAAUGUGAUUCUCACCGGUUUUUGAUCGGAGAAGGGGUCGAGGCGUUUGCAGGAGAAGGGGUCGAGACGCUUGCAAAGGAAGGGGUGACGGUUUUCACCUGAGAGGUUCGGGGUGCCGUUGGACUUAACACGCUGGUGGAUCCACGAUGUAUAGUCGAUGUAAUAGCCGAUGCUGUGGGCUUGACUUUGACUUUGACUGUGCUGUCGGUAGAGUGAGCACAGUCUCUUGAUAUGUUUACCCUUGCACGUAAUAGCUUGGUACAUUCGAGGAGAUUAUAUUGGAGGUCUAUAUAUUCGAUAUUGGGAAAGUCUAUCAUAAUUGCUGAAAGGUUUACACUCGUGAUGUUGUUCCUUGUUAAAUCAAUGACUUCAACCCAGUUUCGUCUUGCAUGGCGGGGAAAGGUGGAAAUACCCAGUCUCGAGCAAUCCAGAGUAUGAAAACUUUUGUCAGGGGGGGAGGGGCGUCCUGGUAUCCUUUUCCAGGAAAUAACAAGGUGGCCAUAACUGCAUUUUGAGAAUGAAUAUGAAAUACAGCACCUGCACCU